rnacentral:rRNA from 1 species
CCUGGCGGCUGUAGCGCGGUGGUCCCACCUGACCCCAUGCCGAACUCAGAAGUGAAACGCCGUAGCGCCGAUGGUAGUGUGGGGUCUCCCCAUGCGAGAGUAGGGAACUGCCAGNA